rnacentral:lncRNA from 1 species
UGAGCACAUGCUAUCAGAUAUUGCAGGUGUUAUGAUGUUUAGUAUGUAAGAAAGACUAUCAAAUAAAGAAAACAAUAAAUUCUUGUAUCGUUUAUUCUAGCAAUGUCUGAUAUAUAUAUAUAUAUUUUACUGGAUUCAUGACAUAAGACAAAUAUAGCACUCCCCAAUAGUUGAUGAAAUAAGCCUACCACAAUAAAACCAACAUUUCAUGAUAUAUAUACAAUGAUAAAAUAUAUAUUUCUACAGUUGUGUAAAAUAUUUUCUUCAACAUACAUUAUACAUUUUAUGUACAUAGCACUGGACUAUCAAAGCAAUGAACAUGGCUUCAAUAAUAUCACUAACAAUAUCUAUAAUGUUUCAUCUGGGAUAUGCCAUUAUUUGUGUUGUGGUGUUUCAACUAAGAAAAUAUGUCAGCUUUAUUUCCUUAAUCCAAUAGAGAUGAAUAAUGUCAGCUGGUUAGAUUAUAAAAUACCCAAAAUAGUGGAAAUCAAUAUAUGAUGAAAUUAUUCUUGAUUGGAUAAAUGAAAAUUAAUCUAUAAAAUUUCCAGCUUAAUGUCAAAAUUUUAAUUCAAAAUUAAUAAAUGCCAAUAAAAGAACAGCGAAUAUAUUUCUUUUCCUGAUUUUGAGGGAAAUUUUUGAGGAUAACAGCUGCCUACAGGAAGUAUGUAGUAGUUAAAACAUUAAAAAGGUUUUGCCUUUAUACAUGAAAUUCCUCAUAUAUCAGUAAAACCUAUCCAUAAUAGUACUAAAACAAUCUGAUGUUUAGAAUAAAUCAAUAAUGAGGAUAUAAUGUGGUUCAUUUUAGACAAUACAUGGCAUCAUCUAGCAACUUUCAACCAGUUCACAGAUACAAAAGGGGAUUUCUUUGAGGUGAGGCUGAUAAUAAAUGUUGGGUUGAGUUUUUCUUCGCUAUAUUUUUGUGAAAUAUAUUCAAAAUAGUACUCACAUAGUUUUUUAAUGUUUGAAACUGGUUAUCUAAAUUACUAAUUUACAAUACAAUAAAAAGUCAAUCGCUGAUGAUUUUCGUAUGUGCCUGUUAAAUUAUAUACAUGGUAAUGUCAAAACAAAACUGAAAUCCAUAUAUAUGUAGCAAAUUCUGGUAACCUAGCAACCAAUCUACAACCAUAAAUAUACAAUUUACACUUCUUUAUGAAUCACAACUGAAAAAUCAAAUAUAUACAGAAACCGUACAAAUAAAGGUACCCACUGGCAAGUUGAAACCAUGCAAAUAAAGAUCCCCACUGGUCAGAUGCAACCAUACAAAUUAAGAUACCCCAUGUUCAGUAAGAACCAUGCAAAUAUAGAUACCCACUGGUCAGUUGCAACCAUACUAAUUAAGAUACCCACUGGCAAGUUGAAACCAUACAAAUAAAAAUACCCACUGGUCAGUGGAAACCAUACAAAUAAAGAUACCCAUUGGUUAUUUACACAUAAACCAUAAAAAUAAAGACACUCACUGGUCAGUUGAGACAGAACUAGAAUAGUUCAAUUUACAAAUAAAAGUCUUUUUUGAGUUAUUUUGUAAGUAUGUAAGUAAUUUUUGAUAAUCUUAUUUUUUCACUAAAAACAUAUGUACAGCUGAGUAAAAUGUUCAUUUUAAAGACCUGUACAUUUUUACACUGAUAUACUAUUUCUAAUAGAUAGUGUCAUUUUUAUUUCUCCAAGAAAACCUUGUGUUGACAAAUUACUUUAAAUAUGUUAAUAAGUAAUCUGUACAGUAAAAACCAAGUAGAUACUGAAUCUGUAGUGAAACCAAAGUGGAAAAUGUAUCUGUACAGUGAAAUCACAGUGGAUUGAUAUCUUUACAGUGCAUUCAUAUGGGAUACUGUAUUUGUAAUGAAAUCAGUGAAUACUGUAUCUGUACAGUGAAAUCACAGUGGAUACCGUAUCUGUACAGUGAAAUCACAGUGUAUACCGCAUUUGUACAGUGAAAUCAGUGGAUACCAUUUGUGUACAGUGAAAACACAGUGGAUACCGUAUGUGCACAGUUAAAUCACAGUGGAUACUGUAUCUGUACAGUGAAAUCACAGUGGAUACUGUAUCUGUACAGUGAAAUCACAGUGGAUACUGUAUGUGUACAGUGAAAUUGAGCAUUAAAUUCAUAUGAAUCAAUAGCUGCACUAAUAUCCAUUAAAUAAGAACAUACACAAUGAAAUGUCUCAGUAAGAUUUUCAUCAACUUUUAAAUAAAGAUUUAUCUAAGCAUGCAACCACUGGAUUUAUCUGUAUACAAUCUAUCCAUUAAAAACCCUAAUAUAUACAUUAUUUAAUUAAUUAUCCUUUCAAAAUUUAAAACUGUUCACAAUUUUUUAAAAGCACUUAUAAAACAUGAGACAAUCACAGAAUUGACACAUCAAUUGUAGUUGUAUACAAAAACCAAACUAAAUUCUUUAACAUGAAAACCAUUAAAAAGAAAAACAGAAAAAAAAACAUAGUGACAAAUGCCUUGAUAGAUUGCAGUCUUUUACUAGAAAUUGAACUUAUGAGACAUUUGGUGUCUAAUAACACUCAAUUAUAUUAUUUUAACCAGGAAAAAUGCAACGUUGUGUAAUGGGGAUCAAACAAAGAUAAGCCUGUAUUUUUAUAUUUAAACAAAUGUGUAGGUCUUCCUUCUAUGUAAACCAGCAAGCUUAGAAUAUACCCUGUAUUUCAAAAUAUAUUCAUUAAAAGUUUUUCAUCACAAUUAACAAUCUGUUUUCCUCAUCACGUUUUCAUCAACACUGUUAUUUACCUAAAUCUCUUCAAUGCCAUCAACAAUAUAACAAAUAAACAAAUCCUUGCAUACUAGUACAUAUUACCCAAGCACUUUAUAACCAUAUCACAGUAUUAUACAUAAAAUAAGAAAUGUUAGUUAUCUACACUGGACUAAGUUACCUGGGGGAGACAAUACACAUCUAUGUGUUGAUUCUGAUGAUCACUCCCUUCAUUUUAAAUAUAAAUAUAAUAUUAAAACUAAUAAAUUAACAAUAGUAUUGAAUUUAAAACAAUUGACUUUGAUAGUACUUAGUGCAUUCUUUCUAGAAAUGGAACUUUUGAUAUAAAUAUGAAGUGUAUCCUUGAAGCAAAAAUUAACCUUAACUAAAUUGUGGCACAAAAUCUGGUUUUGAUAUUCUAAACAUGUAACACGGAAAAUGUCUGAACAGGUUAACAAAGUUGUGUAAUUAUGUUCAAAGUUAAAAUAGCCAUUUACUCAUUGUAACAGAUAGUAUUUACAUCAUAUAAUAAUAAUUGGGACUACAUUUGGCCAAUGUUUAUGAUUUAAUGAAAUUACCAAGUUUUACUAGAUACUCUUUUUUAACAUAUGAUAUGUAUCAAAUUAGACACUAGGGAUAACUUGGAAUCGAAACUAAUAAUCAUCAUCACGAAAAAGAAGUAGGAUCUUUUAUGGAAGAUCUUUACAUAAUUUUACACUAACAGUAGGAUUAUAAACUGUUUGUCAAAAGUAUUAAUACUUUAAAAUGCCUAGUGUCUGGAAAUGGCCGGUAAAUGAAGGGUUAGAUUUCUGUAAUUAUUUUUAAUGGAUGGCCUCAUAUAUAUCUAUCACCUCUGAAACAGUGAUUUCUUUUUCUCAAUACUCAUCAUAAAUACUAUUAGUAAAAUAUUGUACACCAGACUAGCCUUUCCUUUUCAAGACUCAUCAGUGAGACUUGAAUCAAAAAGGUUAAAAAGGCCAAAUAAAGUAGAUAUUUACCUUGUGUAGAUAUUAACAAUGUAAUUCCUACAGUAUAAUUAUGUGGAUUUGGUGACAAGCAAAAUCAUUUUACCCCCGGAUAUAUCAUAUGCAGAAAAAGAUUAUCAAUGUAAACCAAGGGUACAUUAUAAUGAAACAAAUAUAUCAUUGUGAACAAGAAGUGCCAUCUUGAACAUUCAACACGACUUCUUACAUUUUGUCUGCCAUAACCGAGUACAAAUACAUACAAAUAUUACAUAUAAAACUAUAAACAUUACAAAACAUCUUGAGGACAUAUGUUUAUCUGAAUGUAGGUGUUGUCUGCCAUUAAAAAUUUUAGUUUCAUGGCAUGAUCACAAGAAAAACAUGACUACAUGUAUUUCUAAAUAUAUCUAGAAUCAUUGAUUGUUUAAAUUAAGAAACUGGGCUCAUUUCAGAGAGCUUACACUCAUUGUGGUUGAUUUUGAGGAUUUUUUCAUGUUUGUAUUUUUAUUUUUCUGUUUACUAAGUGUAAAAUGUACUGAAUUUCAGAUUUACAUCCUGUUUUGAUUGAUAAAGGGGAGAUUAAGUGCUACCCUUUUUUCCAGAAUAAUAAGUACAGUACGGGUAGGGACUUAUUUUUAUGGAUGUCUUAAUCCGUCUAGUCGGAUAUGAAUAAUCGGACAUUUUUAUGGUAGGUAGUAUGUUCAUUAAACAACAGAUCCAGGUGUGAAUGGUCCUUUCAUCUUAAUCCGUGUUGCUAAAAUUACGGUUCACUGAUUUCAGAAUCAGAUUACCUGUAAUUUUAACCUCUCAGUCACUUUAUUGAUUAUAUUAGUUCUACAUCGUAUUUGACAUAAAAUAUUUUUACAGGUGAAGUACUGGAGAAAA